rnacentral:tRNA from 1 species
AAGGCUUUAAGUUAAAUAAACUAAUAGCCUUCAAAGCUGUAAAUAUGGAAUUAAAUCUUUAAGCCUUA